GCGAAAGUAAACCAGCACUGAUCAAAUUCCCCUGAUCAGGAGACUUUGUCUAGGUUUGUCUAGACUACACGUGGUGUCUUUCUGAACUGCUGUGUUUAUUCAGUGGUUGUGAGGGUUAAAACCAGAAGAGGAGGAUAAAUGGCACGUUCUUCAUCACGACUACCUCGGACAAAGAGCAGAGGAAAUUUCCUGGAUGAGCCACCUGAGUGCUCAAAAAGGAGGAGGAAGGAAAUGGCAGAAUCCUCAUCACUUCAACAAAGAGAAGGCGAAAGGAGGAAUGUAGAUGAAUCAUCUGACUGUGACUUGCACAGUGGACAUGUACUGUACAGCA